UACGUAGGGGGGCAAGCGUUGUCCGGAAUUAUUAGGCGUAAAGAGCGCGUAGGCGGUCCGAUAAGUCGGCUGUGAAAGUCAGGGGCUCAACCCUUGGAAGCCGGCCGAUACUGUCGGACUAGAGUCCGGAAGAGGCGAGUGGAAUUCCCGGUGUAGCGGUGAAAUGCGCAGAUAUCGGGAGGAACACCAAUGGCGAAGGCAGCUCGCUGGGACGGUACUGACGCUGAUGAGCGAAAGCUAGGGGAGCAAACGGG
rnacentral:rRNA from 1 species